rnacentral:rRNA from 1 species
GACGAAGGGGGCUAGCGUUGUUCGGAAUUACUGGGCGUAAAGCGCGUGUAAGCGGUUAUCCAAGUCGGGUGUGAAAGCCUUGAGCUCAACUCAAGAAAUGCACUCGGUACUGGGUGACUAGAGGACCGGAGAGGAUAGUGGAAUUCCCAGUGUAGUGGUGAAAUACGUAGAGAUUGGGAAGAACACCAGUGGCGAAGGCGGCUAUCUGGACGGUUUCUGACGCUAAGACGCGAAAGCGUGGGGAGCAAACAGG